rnacentral:lncRNA from 1 species
UUUGCUCCUUGCUCAAAGUUUCAGCUUGAUUCCGACUUGCCAGAAGAAGACUAGCCGCUGGUCCUUUAAGCACAAUCUUCAUAUCAAAGGCGAGUGCUUGCCUGAAAUUUCCUUUCUGAGGUAAUCUUCCUUUACUGUGGACCUCAUUUUAUCGGACCUAUUCUGCCGGGUUUUAAAAAAAAAUGAAAGUAAUCAGCAUAGCUAAAAUAGGCAGUAACAUUAUUAUCCUGUUUGGGGUUUAACCAGUACCUAAAAAACCCAGAAUUCCGAAUCCUCUAAAAAUGCUCCAAAAAACAGCUCUUUAACUGAUAGAUCUCAAGACAGACCACCCCAGCCUGCCAUUUCUUGGCAAACACUGAUAAUAAACGAGGGAAAAAUUUUAUAGAAUAAAUAUUCAUUUAUUAUACUGGUUAUUAAAUUUCUGUCUGGUGGAUAAAAGAUAUCAGAAACAGAAACAAAAGAAAAUCCUAACAGAUUCUUCCUGUAAUCUACAUUAGAUAAUUUUUACUUUAUAUGCUUCUGCCGAAUUAUAUAUCAACUCAUAAAAUAAGAUAAAAUCCACACAAAAAAUCCUCUGAAAAUCUAAGAAUUACCAGAAAAGUGUCACUGCUGGAGAUCUGAUUCAAUCACUUGAAGCCUAAGGAAAUGAGAAUAAAGUCGUUCCUUGAAGUGAGAGAAAGUAGGGAAAGAUAAACAAAAUAGAAAGACCAAUUCACCUGCAAUCUACAACAAUAGGUGAAAAAAAAUCCUCAAAUGAGGUAUUUGUUUGACAGCUGGAUGAAAAAAAUCCUCUAAUGAGUUAUUUGAUUGACACCUGUCUUAAAAGGACAUAAGUAAAUUCCAACUCAGUUAAAAAAUCCAUUUAUUUUACAAAAUAAAUUAUAUUAUUACGAGGUUGUUUUUUAUAUUUUUAUAUAAAAUUUAUAUAGAAGUUUUAUGAUACUAUCAUUUGGGAACUCUUGACUUCAUUAUUCCACUAAAAUUUUAUUUGCUUAUUCAUAAUUUUUUUUAUAAAUAUAUGUUUUACAUAUAUUGUUAGCUCACAAUAACUAUGUAUUUUAUUGUUAUUUUAGAUGAAAUAUAUAAUAAAAUAUAAAGUGAAGGAUUCAAUUAUAUUAGUGUAUAGUAAGAUAUUAAUUUUAAAAUUUUACAUGUGAUUAAUACAUUUAUAUUAAUAAUUUAAUAAUUAAAUUGUCAGAAUAUUAAUUAUAGGAAAAAUCAUGAAAGAAGGUAAAACUAUUAUAAUUUUAUACCUGUAAAUGGAUUAUUUUUUAAAUAUUAAAUAUUUAUACCUUUUGUCGUGUGUUUUUUUUUUGUAAAUUCGCUUAUUACAAAUUUGAAUAGUAGACUUAUUAUUUAAUGCAAGUUUAUAACAUAGUUGAAUAUGAAUCUUUGGAUAUUUACAGAUCAAAAUUCAUUUUGAUUUUAAUUCAAAUUUUAUAUUUAUUAUUUUUAUCUUUUAAAAAUAAAAAUAAAUCUUCAACUAAUUUACAAAUAAUAUAAAUUCGUAAUACAUAAAAUGUAAGUUAGUUAUUAUCAUAAAUUUUAAGUUUUUAAUUUAAUGUUUUUUGUUUGACCGUUCUCUUAAAGGAUAUGCAUGGCAUUUUUCUUCGUGAACGGAAUUUUAGUUUUCGCCUCUCGAAGGGCAACAAGACGAGCAACUGUUUUUUUUUAUACAAUCUAAAUUAUUGAUACAUUUUUCUAAUAUUUUUUAAUAAUAAAUUAAACAUGUUUCAACAUGUUCAAAUUUAUUUUUUUCUGCACGAUGAUAGAAAUAUUGAUCUUAAUUAAAUUAAGAUUUCACAGGCAUUGUAUGAUUUAACUUAAUUUUAUUUUUUAGAAGACAUCUCAACAACUAAUAAAACACUUCCACCCACCCAUUGUUUAAGCAAAGCUUCAGUUUACUUUUAAACAGAAAGAAAAGAAAAACCCUAAUUAGACGACCCUACUACCGAGCAAACCAAUUUAUUUAGUCUUUGAUACCUCCAAUUCAAAUACAGCAGCCUCAACUUGAGAUUGUGAGAAUUGGGUCUUUAGUUUUGGUUAGGGAUUACGAGCGAGUUUGGGCUUUAGUUUGCUGUGAUUUUUGUGCCAAUAAUAAUAUAUUGCCUCUUAUCUAGGUUGGGUCCUCGAUAACGACGUCUGUGGUCCCCCUUGUAGUGCAAAGGUGCACGCUUUGGUAAUUGUAGGUUGGUGACGUUUAAUGCAAUUUACUAUACAGUUGUUCUAUGAUUCUCAUCCGGUGGUGGGGAAAGUUCUGAG